GUUUCACUCUUAAGGAGGAAAUUUCAUCAGGAGGUCACUGUCUUUUUAAAAGUAAGUACAUUUUAAAACUUCACAGAUGAUGUCAGCAGAUACAGCAGACAUCUCUGGACAUGUGCAGGAGAUCUUGAUCACAGAGACACUCAGCUUUCUGUUAUUACAAACAUUUAUAUUCUUUGAUUUUAAACCCUGAUGACCUCAACCUUUCCUGCAUAACCUGAACCCUGACCUCUGCCAGUACAUCUCAUUCCCAGGCUGAUUGCGUCGUUUCCCUGCGUGAGUCCCGGUUAUUUUGUUCCUGCGGGUCAGGUGAUGGGGCAGCUGGAUUGUUGGCUGUUUCCUCUCAUCAUGUGAUAGGAACGAUUGGGGUUACUGAACCAGAGGCGUGUCGAGACGUGUCCCUACCCUGAGUCUCGACACACCUCUGGUCCUGACUAUUCAGAUACCUCGAUCCCUACUCAUCCCUCCUUACUUCAACUCUUUAACUUACUUAUAUAAAAUGAUUAAAACUGUA